AUCAUGUUGAUGUCUGACUGACAUGGCUGUUAUUUGCAGGGUGAUGUGGGACCUCUGGGGCCAACAGGGCGGAAUGGUCCAUGGGGGGCGCUGGGGGAGAAUGGGGAGAAGGGACCAAAAGGAGAAAAGGCCCACAUCGGACUAAUGGUGAGUGUUCAGAUGACAAUACAUAAUGAGCUGCACAUUCUAGCUUAUGUUCAACACACAUUGAAACCAUCAAAUGGAAUCAACUGAAGUGAUUUUCAAUGUGAUUUUUGAGAUGUGGCUUUGGGUGAUCAAUUUGAUGACUGAUGCUCCACCUCUGUGCUGUGUCCACCAGGGUCAGCCAGGAUUUAUGGGAGAAAUAGGACCUGCAGGCUUGUCAGGGCUACAGGGUAUCAUGGGCCCCAGGGGGCCUCCAGGGCCAGAUGGACCUGAAGGAGAGAAGGGCCAGUCUGGGUCUGGCGGAACCAUCGGACAACCUGGCAGAACAGGGCCUCCGGUAACAGUCGCUUCAAAACCUAAUUACUACAGUACUGAUAUUGUAUGCAGGGUGAAUGGCAUUUGUCCUUUUGGUAGAAAUGCAUGUUUUCUUGUUAUUGUAUUCUCAGGGGGUGGCUGGAGUCUCAGGGGUCAGAGGUGA
rnacentral:lncRNA from 1 species